rnacentral:rRNA from 1 species
GACGAACCGUGCGAACGUUAUUCGGAAUCACUGGGCUUAAAGCGCGUGUAGGCGGGGUGGCACGUCGGUCGCUGAAAGCCCCCGGCUCAACCGGGGAAGGGGCGCCGAUACGACCACCCUGGAGGGACGUAGGGGGACCUGGAACUUCCGGUGGAGCGGUGAAAUGCGUUGAGAUCAGGAGGAACGCCCGUGGCGAAGGCGGCCCCCUGGGUCGGCCCUGACGCUGAGGCGCGAAAGCGUGGGGAGCGAACGGG